AAAUAAAAGACACUUUUGUUUUGUUUUUGUUUUUGUUUUUCCUCAGAGGAGAAGACCAUAUGGUGGAGAGACUGACAUGAAACCACUCUAACAAAAUAAGUCGACAGUUUUGGCAACCAGGAAGGAAACCAGAGCAGACGUCUCUCCUUCGCCUGGCUCUGUGAGGAUCUGAGCCUUGGUAGCAGCAGAGGCCUUGUGGGCCCAUCCGCCUCCUCGGAGAGUCCAGAAGAAUUUGGACUUUAAAUGAAGCAAGAACAUAGUCAAGAAAACCUCUAGCGAACACAAAGAUUUUGAGAAAAAGAUAUACUCAAGUCCCACCUCCCACCAAGAAAGAGGUAAGGUCAUGUGGUUAUAUGUGGUAGAUUCAUCAGUUAAUUCAAUACUUAUGAUUUUUGCCCAAGUUCAUGUUGAGCACUAUUCAGGUUGCUGUUGAUACAGUAGGUAAAGGGGAUAGACAAGCUCUCUUCUCUCAUGCUGAUAACACUUUAUUGGGGAAUGGCAGACAGUACAAUAAAGACAAGUAAACAAGACAGUAUCAGUUAAGGCAAGUUACUUGGAGAAAAAAAAAAUACCACUAGAGAGUGACUGGUGCCUACAUAAAUAAGAUAAUAUUAGGGUAUUUCCGGGAGACUUAAAUGACAAGUGGGAGCCAGUCCUUCAAAGAUCUGAAGGAAAAACAGCAGAGAAGAACUAGAGGAAAUGGAAAAAUGCCAUUGUGACCAGACAGGAUGCUGUGUGCCUUGUGGAACUGUAUCAUUCUUCACAAGAAAUACAUUUCUUGACCCUCUCCACCAGUCCAAAUUCAAACCUCCCAUUUUCUACAAAUUCUUCCCUUUUGCCUCCAGUUCUUUCAAAUGUUUUCCCUUAGAAAUUUUUUUAAACUUAUUUCAAUAGUACAGGGAAACUUCACACCUAAUUACAUAUAAUGAAAAUGCUUCUGCAUGGCUCUCUUAUGUCCUCAGAGUACAUAAUUAUCUCUUCAGUAAUGAGAACUGUGUCUCUUUAUGUAUUUUGUCCUCCAUAGUGAUAAUUCUUAUGGGUGUAUGAUAUUAACAAAAUAAGAAUCUUGAAGCUUGUUUAAGUUCUACCAGGACUUGCCAUUGAACCCUGGGUCUGUGACUUACUCAUUAGAUUUUCUAAUUCUAGAGUAAUGUUUAUAAAAAGAAAAGAGGAAUGCCUUGGGGGUAAUAACCUCAGUAACUUGCACAAUAGUGACAGAAGUACGUUAAAUAAGAGUAAAGCAGUUGAAGCCGCUCAGAUUGGGCACAUUUAUCCAGUGUAUCCUCAAGACUUAAUCCUUGGUUAAAGGACUUAGACUUGCUUCUUAGCUGCUAGCUGUCAGUUCUCAGGCUUAGCCUUCAGAGACUGACCAGUGUUUUUCAGUAACUUCCUUUUUUUUCUCGCUUGGAUUUUGGCAGCGAUUUAUGCAGAAACUUACAUUGCAGAGACUCCAAUCUUCAAGAAAGGGGACGAAACAUGACAGGACUUUGUAGUUAAUAAAUUGAACACGUCUCAGUGAUGCAGUGUGGUUUUCCAAAUAUAGAGACUAAACAAUUACUUGAAAUUCUAUUCAGACCCAUACACAAUCAUGAACAAGCAGGAACAAAAUGCAUAUAGAAAUGCAUAUGAUGGUAAAUGGCAGUGUCCCCAGGAAAAACAUUAAAGAAAAUCUUUCAUUCCAGUCUUCCAGUUGGUUUGCACUGAUGAUUUCAGGAGGUAAGUUUUUACCUUGAGAACUGUCAAAUGAUAGUCAACCAAAAAUGGUCUUCAGUAUUAAAAAAAUAUUCUGCUAGAUGUUUCAAAACAGGAUCUCAGGAUGGUGUCUCAGGUCUCUUGCUUGAUUUAAGGGUUAGGAUGAGGGGGUGGUGCCAUAUCUAAGUGGUAGAAAGAGAAUCAUUAAAAAAAAAAAGGGUUGGGGUGAAUGCAGGAAAACCAAUAAUGGGUAUUCAUCAAGUUGAUGGGAGCCCUUGAAUAAGAUAGAAGGAUUCUAUAUUUUGCUGCAUGGUCCCUCUUUAAAGCUGAUAUUUAUAUUUUUAAAGUACUUAAUGUUAAAGAUCUCUCUAUUUUGUUUUUAUCUGGUUCCAAAAAAAUAAGGGUCAGGCAGCCAAGAUAAAAUCACAAUGGAAUUCAGAGAAUGACAAAAACAAAGUGUUUGGGAGCCCUCGGUGUGGAGCUUAAAAAGAGUCUAGAUUGUAUGAAAGAUGUGUGAUGCAGACAACUCUUGCACCCCACUUCACCAUGCUCUGAGCCCUACCUGGCACUCCAAACUCUGCUACAGUGAGGUGACCAUCUCCAUGUGACCCUCCAUCAGCUGUGGCAGAGGCAACCCAACAGUGCUCUUCCUUGGGUCACAUAACUACCACUUACUGCCUAGAGACUUCUCUGACACUUGAGCAUGGGAUAUUCUUGGAAUCUUGCAAAAUGUUCAGAUGUGCUGGGAACUUAAUAUCUGAGGAGUCUGUCUGUCCAAACAGGGAUGGGAACUGACAGAUAAAUGCUUUUAUCUUUCAUCCCCUAAGCAAACAGCUCUGACGUAUUUCAUAAGUCUUCUCAGAAUGUGUCACGGGCUUGAGUGCCAGUCACCUGUUUGGUGGCCAACUUGAUAAUAUAUUCUAGAACCAGCUUUUGCGUCUUUCCUCUUUCACUUGUCCUGUUAUGGGCUUCUAUUCCUUAGAAUCAGAUGCUCCUCAAAAUUAUUGGCAAUCAAGUCUUUGUCUCAGCUCUUUGGAAAAGACUAAAACUAAAACAGUGAGGAUAUAGAGGAAGAAAGAAGGAAAAAAAAAACAGGAGUAAAUAAACCAUGUAUUGUUCCUAAAAGAGUAGACAGUUAACUGAUUUAUGUCCUAAAUCAAGGCUAUGUUGUUAUGAGUAACUUAGAGAAAGUGGGAGAGUUUUACAGGUAACUGGGAUUUUCAAGUUUCUGAUUGACUCAGAGCACAAUCCCCAAAUGCCCCAUUCUCCAGGGUUUUAAAUGUGUUGUCUAAAUGGAGAUCUAGAAAAAUAUAUUUCCUUCCAAUCCCAA